rnacentral:lncRNA from 1 species
UCCCUAAUUCUCUUUCACAAUUUUAAGACAAGGUGAACUUAUAUUCCAUCAACUUUACACAUUAAACUGGAAAUUAAAACGUGGAAACGGCUUGGAAUUCCAACAAGUAGCAUAUCAAGAAUUUGGGUAAAAAUAAGACAAUCCUACCGAUUUUAUGGCGCAGAAAUGGGAAUAUUCACAGAUACCUGAUCCAAACAUUACAGAAAUCUCGAAUUCAGUCGGCUCUGUAAUGAAAUUUUCAAGACGGCUAUUUGUACUUCUCUUCCCUUCAGCUGUUACCAGCAAACAUGAUAGCAUAAGAAUUUGAUCCAAC